CACCUGCAUGUUUGUGUUAAGUUAAUAAAAAAAAUCCAAAUUGAAUUCUAUCUUAUUAUUUCAAAGCAUUAUUUCACUAUGAUAGAUUGCAAGUUCCAAAUUUUUGUAUAUCAUUGAACAUGUCAUUGGAAUUUUGUAGGAAAGGAUCUGUUGGUAUUUCACUUCCUGGAUUUAAGUAAUCAGAACACAGUCCCAUGAUGUCCUGUCAGUAAGAAGGUUGAAUGCUAUUUUGAACUUAAACAUUUAACUGGUGAUUUGGUAAAUUGGCUUUCAAUAAUUCCUUUUCAUUGGGGAAUUUUUUUUUUAUAAAAAAAAAGUAUAAUGAACCAGGAAUUCUAUAAGGAAACAAUAACACAAACUAAACUUAUGAAAUGUCUAUCCUAAUGAGGCUCAAAUUUUUCAAACAUGAACCAAAAGAAUCAUCUUCCAGAAAAUCAGUGUUUACAUAUAAAUUC
rnacentral:lncRNA from 1 species